CUAUGUUAUGAUUUUAUGAGUGCUCAACAGCCAUGCCGAUGCUUACUGCGUGUCAUGAGGUUUUGGCAAUUAACGAUGAAACCAUUUUUCUUUCGCUAAAUGAAGAGCACUUAUCGUCGAGCAAGCCUGUGGGUGACUGUUACCCAUUAGAGUUAUUAGAGGAUCGUUUGCCACUCUUGCCAUGAGGACAAACAUCAAGCACACGUGCAAAGGCGCCAUGAGAAUGGAGACAUUUUAAACACCAUAUAUGUUUUCACAAUUGUUAUACCCCAUUUUUAACAGGUUAAAAUAGGAGUACAACAUAUUGGAGAUUCCUAUCUUGCUUAUUUUAAGGAGUCGCCACCUAAUUAAUUUAAUGGUGAAUUAGGACACCUAAUUUAUUAACUAAGGUAAAGCUAACUAAACCUCCGUUAAUAGUCUGCUUAAUCAAUGUGAUUCUAGGUAAGGGUUCUAUAUUAUCCUAAAGGGAAGGGGUUAGGCAUCCUUUAGAAUCCGUUAACUACGGUUAUCCGACCAAACUUAGGUUAAUUAAUAUAUGGCUAAAAAUGAAUAUUUUGAAAAUAUUGUACUAAAGUAUAUUUAUUGAAAUCUUACAAAAUAUGCAUGCAUGCGUAAAGCACUAAAGUAAAAAGUAGAACAUCUAUUAGUUUAAAUUAUAUAAGUAUAAGAACAUAAUUU